rnacentral:rRNA from 1 species
GACGAACGCUGGCGGCGUGCCUAACACAUGCAAGUCGAACGAAAACGUCGGGCCUUUGUGCGCAGCUCUGGUUGACACCGGGUGACCUACACGUGGGUUCCCAAUACCUGCCCGAGGGAUAACUUAAUACAACUUGGGGUCUUAGCGCCUAGGAGUUAUCGCCUUUUGGUGGGGGUUGGUUGGUUUAGGUGGUUGGUGGUGGAAUCGCGGCCUAUGAGCUUGUUCGAGGGGUAGUGUCUUACCAAGGCUUUGAACGGUAGCCGGCCUGGGAGGGUGACCGGCCACGUUGGGACUGGGCUGCGGCCCAGACUCCUACGGGAGGCAGCAGUGGGGAAUAGUGCACAAUGGGCGGAAGCCUGAUGCAGCAACGCCGCGUGCGGGAUGACGGCCUUCGGGUUGUAAACCGCCUUCGCCUGUGACGAAGCGUGAGUGACGGUAAUGGGUAAAGAAGCACCGGCUAACUACGUG